UACGUAGGUGGCGAGCGUUAUCCGGAUUUACUGGGUGUAAAGGGUGUGUAGGCGGGGCUGCAAGUCAGAUGUGAAAACUAUGGGCUUAACUCAUAGCCUGCAUUUGAGACUGUGGCUCUUGAGGGUCGGAGAGGUAACCGGAAUUCCUGGUGUAGCGGUGAAAUGCGUAGAUAUCAGGAGGAACACCGGUGGCGAAGGCGGGUUACUGGACGAUUACUGACGCUGAGACACGAAAGCGUGGGGAGCAAAC
rnacentral:rRNA from 1 species